rnacentral:rRNA from 1 species
AUUGAACGCUGGCGGCAGGCCUAACACAUGCAAGUCGAACGAGUGGCGGACGGGUGAGUAAUGUCUGGGAAACUGCCUGAUGGAGGGGGAUAACUACUGGAAACGGUAGCUAAUACCGCAUACCAUCGGAUGUGCCCAGAUGGGAUUAGCUUGUAGGUGAGGUAACGGCUCACCUAGGCGACGAUCCCUAGCUGGUCUGAGAGGAUGACCAAGAAAACUGGAACUGAGACACGGGCCAGAGUCCUUCGGGAGUGAGCAGUGGGGAACAUGGCACAAUGGGCUAAAGCCUGAUGCAGCCACGCCGGGUGGAGGAAGAAGGCUUUCGGGUUGUAAAGCACUUUCAGCGGGGAGGCGUUAUCCGCAGAAGAAGCACCGGCUAACUCCGUGCCAGCAGCCGCGGUAAUUC